UAAGAGCCCUAACUUUCGACGUACUUGGCCUUGUUAAAGUAAUUGAAGCUCGGAGUAAGCUAGAUGGAGUUCCUAAUGUUGUAGAGAGGUGGGGUGACCCUAAUUCCUCUAAAUCUAUCCUCGCCGCUUCUAUCAAUGACCGAAAAUCCAACCCUUUGCUAGCAGUUGCCAGGAAAAAUGGUGCUGUAAGAUGCUUGCUUCCCAUGUCAACACCAAUGUAAAUGGUAUCAUGCGUAUCCUGUU